UACGGAGGGUCCGAGCGUUAUCCGGAAUCAUUGGGUUUAAAGGGUCCGUAGGCGGGCAGCUAAGUCAGUGGUGAAAGUCUGCAGCUCAACUGUAGAACUGCCAUUGAUACUGGUUGUCUUGAAUCAAUGUGAAGUGGCUAGAAUAUGUGGUGUAGCGGUGAAAUGCUUAGAUAUCACAUGGAAUACCGAUUGCGAAGGCAGGUCACUAACAUUGCAUUGACGCUGAGGGACGAAAGCGUGGGGAGCGAACAGG
rnacentral:rRNA from 1 species